UACGGAGGGGGCUAGCGUUGUUCGGAAUUACUGGGCGUAAAGCGCGCGUAGGCGGCUUUGUAAGUUAGAGGUGAAAGCCCGGAGCUCAACUCCGGAAUUGCCUUUAAGACUGCAUCGCUAGAAUCAUGGAGAGGUUAGUGGAAUUCCGAGGGUAGAGGUGAAAUUCGUAGAUAUUCGGAAGAACACCAGUGGCGAAGGCGACUAACUGGACAUGUAUUGACGCUGAGGUGCGAAAGCGUGGGGAGCAAACAGG
rnacentral:rRNA from 1 species